UGAGGCCAAUGAUGAUCUAAAACUAUUUUGCCUACAUCGGAUGAUUAUCUGUUAUAAGAUAAUGAUAUCUCUGACAUAUCUGAGGCCUUU